rnacentral:tRNA from 1 species
GGGGCUGUAGCUCAGUGGUAGAGCACCUGCCUCGCACAUUGGAGGCACUGGGUUCGAUUCUCAGCACCA